CGGAUCAGUAUGUCCCAGUGACACAAACAUACCCGGAACCAUACCCCAGUUUUGUAAGUUGGUUAAAUGAUCGAGCCGUAACCGGUGUAGACAUGUCAACUUGGGAUAGUGAUCCUAGCCAAACAUCAAAAGAUACCGUAAGGGAACAAUUGAGGUUAAGUAGGUGUCCAGCUGCUGAUGUGGGAAGACUUAUUACGAACAGUGAUAAAAAUAAAUGGCCUACUCAAAUAAAAUCACGUCAGGCACCUUAUUAUAACGCACAAUA